AACGUGCCCAGAUCUACGGAAUAGCCACUGGAAACGGUGAGUAAUACCGUAUACGCCCUUCGGGGGAAAGAUUUAUCGGAUUUGGAUCGGCCCGCGUUAGAUUAGGUAGUUGGUGGGGUAACGGCCUACCAAGCCUACGAUCUAUAGCUGGUUUUAGAGGAUGAUCAGCAACACUGGGACUGAGACACGGCCCAGACUCCUACGGGAGGCAGCAGUGGGGAAUCUUGGACAAUGGGGGCAACCCUGAUCCAGCCAUGCCGCGUGAGUGAAGAAGGCCCUAGGGUCGUAAAACUCUUUCGCCUGUGAUGAUAAUGACAGUAGCAGGUAAAGAAACCCCGGCUAACUCCGUGCCAGCAGCCGCGGUAAUACGGAGGGGGUUAGCGU
rnacentral:rRNA from 1 species